rnacentral:rRNA from 1 species
GAUGAACGCUGACAGAAUGCUUAACACAUGCAAGUCCACUUGAAUUUGGGUUUUUAACUUAGGUUUGGGUGGCGGACGGGUGAGUAACGCGUAAAGAACUUGCCUCACAGCUAGGGGCAACAUUUGGAAACGAAUGCUAAUACCUAAUAUUAUGAUAAUAGGGCAUCCUAUAAUUAUGAAAGCUAUAAGCGCUGUGAGAGAGCUUUGCGUCCCAUUAGCUAGUUGGAGAGGUAACGGCUCACCAAGGCGAUGAUGGGUAGCCGGCCUGAGAGGGUGAUCGGCCACAAGGGGACUGAGACACGGCCCGUACUCCUACGGGGGGCAGCAGUGGGGAAUAUUGGACAAUGGACCGAGAGUCUGAUCCAGCAAUUCUGUGUGCACGAUGAAGUUUUUCGGAAUGUAAAGUGCUUUCAGUUGGGAAGAAACAAAUGACGGUACCAACAGAAGAAGUGACGGCUAAAUACGUG